GCGCAGGCUAGACGAGGCAGAAGGCCGCAGCGAAGAGACUACGAGAAAGACAGGGGCCCGCAGGGAGACCGCGGAGAUCUCCGGCGUCCUUCCGGGAGCAGCCCAGCCCAACGCCGCAGCUGUCAGGCCGCGGGCGGCGGCGCCAGUCCACCAAACCUGAAAGUUCCAUCCCAGCGCCUCCACCUUCCCAGCCUGGACAAGUUACCUUGCGCCCGCUGCUCCCGGUCCCGCCCCCGUCAUCCAUUGGUCGACGGGUUUCUUUGUUAGCAGGAGCGUGCGGGUGCCAUUGGCUCGCGGGGCUGCCGGUUGCGGUGCCCCGCCCCACCCCGCCCCUCCCCGAGUGCGCGCGGCGCCCAGCUCGGUUCGUUCGCGGUGGCGGCGGGCGCCGGGUGAGCGCGACGGCUGGACUUGCCGGCCGGCGCCUUGGGGGCGGCCGCGGUGGAGCCAGCGGCCGGAGGCCGCGUCCGUCCAUGGGCCCACAGCGGCCGGGCGGCGGGGCGGGGCGCGAGGCGGCGCGCGCGCUCUGAGGCCGCGGCGAGCAGGCGGGGCGCGGCGCGAGAGGGGAGGCCUUUCCGGGCCUGCGGCGGCCAGCGCAAAAUGCGGCGGCGGCCGCGCUGAGUCCCCGACCCCCGGGAGAGCGCUGGGCCGUGGCGGCCCGCUCCGCGGCCGCCUAGCCGACAUGUCGGCGGCCAAGGAAAACCCGUGCAGGAAAUUUCAGGCCAACAUCUUCAACAAGAGCAAGUGUCAGAACUGCUUCAAGCCCCGCGAGUCGCAUCUGCUCAACGACGAGGACCUGACGCAGGCAAAACCCAUUUAUGGUGGCUGGCUGCUCCUGGCUCCAGAUGGCACUGACUUUGACAACCCAGUGCACCGGUCACGGAAAUGGCAGCGACGAUUCUUCAUCCUUUAUGAGCAUGGCCUCUUGCGAUAUGCCCUGGAUGAGAUGCCCACCACCCUCCCUCAGGGCACCAUCAACAUGAACCAGUGCACAGAUGUGGUGGAUGGGGAGGCCCGCACAGGGCAGAAGUUCUCCCUCUGCAUCCUGACACCUGACAAGGAACAUUUUAUCAGGGCAGAAACCAAGGAGAUCAUCAGUGGGUGGUUAGAGAUGCUCAUGGUGUAUCCUCGAACCAACAAGCAGAACCAGAAGAAGAAACGGAAAGUAGAGCCACCUACCCCACAGGAGCCUGGGCCUGCUAAGAUGGCUGUCACUAGCAGUAGUGGCGGCAGCAGUGGUAGCAGCAGCAGCAUUCCCAGUGCUGAGAAAGUUCCCACCACCAAAUCCACACUCUGGCAGGAAGAAAUGAGAGCCAAAGACCAACCUGAUGGGACCAGCCUGAGUCCAGCUCAAAGUCCCAGCCAAAGCCAGCCUCCUGCUGCUUGCACCCCACGGGAACCAGGACUAGAAAGCAAAGAAGAUGAAAGCACCAUAAGUGGGGACCGUGUGGAUGGUGGUCGGAAAGUACGGGUAGAGAGCGGCUACUUCUCCCUGGAGAAGGCCAAGCAGGACCUGAGGGCUGAGGAGCAGCUGCCCCCACUACUCUCCCCACCCAGCCCCAGCACCCCACACAGCAGGUAUGGUUGUCCUGGAUCGCCCUCACAGGAACUCAGCCACCCCCUUCACUCCCCAGGUCUUCCAGCCCCAAGCCGAAUGGUCUACAGCAUCUGCCCUGCCAGCCUGGGUGAGGCCAGCAGGUCACCUAACCACAUGGACUCCAGCAGUGCUGGGGGGUGGGGAACAGAGAUACUGGGGAGCACCUUUGCCUUUAAAGCCAGCAGGCAGUAUGCCGCCCUGGCCGACGUCCCUAAGGCCAUCCGGAUCAGCCAUCGAGAAGCCUUCCAGGUGGAGAGAAGGCGGUUGGAGCAUAGGACUCGGGCCCGGAGCCCUGGCAGGGAAGAGGUGGCCCGUCUAUUUGGCAACGAGCGGAGGAGGUCCCAGGUAAUUGAGAAAUUUGAGGCCUUGGACAUUGAAAAAGCAGAGCACAUGGAAACCAACAUGCUGAUUCUGACCACUCCAUCAAGUGACACUCGUCAGGGCCGCAGUGAGAGACGGGCCAUCCCUAGAAAGCGGGACUUUGCCAGCGAAGCCCCCACAGCUCCUCUCUCAGAUGCUUGUCCCCUGUCUCCACACCGAAGAGCCAAGUCAUUGGACAGGAGGUCCACAGAAUCCUCCAUGACGCCUGACCUGCUGAAUUUCAAGAAAGGCUGGCUAACCAAGCAGUAUGAGGAUGGCCAGUGGAAGAAACACUGGUUUGUCCUGGCAGAUCAGAGCCUGAGAUACUACAGGGAUUCCGUGGCUGAGGAGGCAGCUGACCUAGAUGGAGAAAUUAACUUGUCCACUUGCUAUGAUGUCACUGAGUAUCCAGUCCAGAGAAACUAUGGCUUUCAGAUACAUACCAAGGAGGGUGAGUUCACCCUCUCAGCCAUGACAUCUGGCAUACGACGGAACUGGAUCCAGACCAUUAUGAAACAUGUGCUCCCAGCAUCUGCCCCAGAUGUGACCAGCUCAUUGCCUGAGGGAAAGAAUAAAAGCACAUCUUUUGAGACCUGCUCAAGGUCAACUGAGAAGCAAGAAGCUGAGCCAGGAGAGCCAGAUCCUGAACAAAAGAAGAGCCGUGCUCGAGAGCGGAGGCGGGAGGGUCGCUCCAAGACCUUUGACUGGGCUGAAUUCCGCCCUAUACAACAGGCCCUGGCUCAAGAAAGGGCCAGCGCUGUUGGGUCUUCUGAUUCUGGUGACCCUGGGUGUCUUGAAGCCGAGCCAGGUGAGCUGGAGCGUGAACGAGCUCGACGUCGAGAAGAACGCCGCAAGCGCUUUGGGAUGCUGGACACCAUUGAUGGACCAGGAAUGGAGGACACAGCCCUACGUAUGGACAUCGACCGGAGCCCAGGGCUGCUGGGAACCCCUGACCUCAAGACACAGAAUGUCCACGUGGAAAUUGAGCAGCGUUGGCAUCAAGUGGAGACCACCCCUCUCAGGGAGGAGAAACAGGUGCCCAUUGCCCCUCUGCACCUAUCCUUGGAGGACAGAAGUGAGCGGCUCUCCACACAUGAGCUCACCUCUCUGCUAGAGAAGGAGCUGGAGCAGAGCCAGAAAGAAGCCUCGGAUCUUCUAGAGCAGAACCGGCUUCUACAGGACCAGUUAAGGGUGGCCCUGGGCAGAGAACAGAGUGCCCGGGAGGGCUAUGUGCUGCAGACUGAAGUGGCCACCUCUCCAUCGGGUGCCUGGCAGAGGCUCCAUAGAGUCAACCAAGACCUGCAAAGUGAGCUGGAAGCUCAGUGCCGGCGGCAGGAGCUCAUCACACAGCAGAUUCAGACCCUGAAACACAGCUAUGGGGAGGCCAAGGAUGCAAUCCGCCACCAUGAGGCUGAGAUUCAGACCCUGCAGACGAGACUUGGUAAUGCCGCUGCAGAGCUGGCCAUUAAGGAGCAGGCUCUAGCCAAGCUCAAGGGUGAGCUGAAGAUGGAGCAGGGCAAGGUUCGUGAGCAGCUGGAGGAAUGGCAGCACAGCAAGGCCAUGCUGAGUGGCCAGCUGAGGGCCAGUGAGCAGAAACUCAGAAGUACAGAAGCCCGGCUGUUAGAGAAGACACAGGAACUCAGAGACCUGGAAACACAACAGGCAUUGCAACGGGAUCGACAGAAGGAGGUGCAGAGGCUGCAGGAAUGCAUUGCUGAGCUCAGCCAACAGCUGGGUACCAGUGAGCAAGCCCAGCGUCUGAUGGAGAAGAAGUUAAAGAGGAACUAUACAUUGUUGCUGGAGAGCUGUGAGCAAGAAAAGCAGGCACUGCUGCAGAACCUGAAGGAAGUAGAGGACAAGGCCAGUGCCUAUGAGGAUCAGCUACAAGGCCAUGUGCAGCAGGUGGAGGCCCUCCAGAAAGAGAAGCUGAGUGAAACGUGCAAAGGCAGUGAGCAGGUACAUAAGCUAGAGGAAGAGCUGGAGGCCCGAGAGGCCAGUAUCCGCCAGUUAGCCCAGCAUGUACAGAGCCUCCAUGAUGAACGGGAUCUCAUCAAGCAUCAGUUUCAAGAGCUCAUGGAACGUGUGGCCACAUCCGAUGGGGAUGUGGCUGAGCUCCAAGAGAAGCUGAGGGGAAAGGAAGUUGACUAUCAGAACCUUGAGCACUCACACCACAGGGUCUCUGUCCAGCUACAGAGCGUGCGCACUCUGCUGAGAGAAAAGGAAGAAGAGCUGAAGCACAUUAAGGAAACACAUGAGAGAGUUCUGGAAAAGAAAGACCAAGACCUCAAUGAAGCUUUAGUUAAAAUGAUUGCCUUGGGCAGCAGCUUAGAGGAAACAGAAAUUAAGCUGCAGGAAAAGGAAGAGUGUCUAAGGAGGUUUGUGAGUGAUUCUCCAAAGGAUGCCAAGGAGCCUCUGAGUACCACAGAGCCAACAGAGGAGGGCAGUGGCAUUUUGCCCUUAGGCUCAGUCACCAGAGUAUUUCCUGGCUUUCCUCACUCUCAGCCAGAGGAUGAAGAUCCAAGUGCUGGCCUGGGGGAAGAAGGGAGCAGUGGUAGCCUCAGCAGAGAGGAAAACACCAUACUCCCAAAGUCAGCUGAUAUGCCCGAGAGGGAGGGGCAUCUGCAGAGCACAUCUAAGUCUGAUCCAGGAGCUCCUAUAAAAAGGCCAAGAAUCAGGUUCUCCACAAUCCAGUGUCAAAGAUACAUACACCCCGAGGGGUGUGCAAAGGCAUGGACUAGCAGCACAUCAUCAGAUACCAGCCAGGACCAGUCACCCUCAGAGGAUAGUGUGUCCUCAGAAGCUACCCCGAACACACUGCCAGCAGCUGCAGAUGCUGAAACCUACAUCUCUAUAAUCCACUCUCUGGAGACGAAGCUCUAUGUCACAGAGGAAAAGCUCAAAGACGUAACUGUGAGGCUGGAAAGCCAGCAGGGGCAGAGUCAGGAGGCAUUGCUUGCACUGCACCAGCAGUGGGCUGGCACAGAGGCACAGUUGCGAGAGCAGCUCCGUGCCAGCCUGUUACAGGCUAGCGCUCUGGCCUCUCAGCUAGAGCAGGAAAGACAACAGAAGGCCACAAACAUUGAACACCACCCUGGGGAGCUGGAAGACUUCCAAGCCAAAAAUAGCCAAGCCCUGACAUGCUUAGAAAACUGCUGGAAAAAGCUAAGGUCUUUGCCAUGGGCUGACCAGGAGGAGGGCCAGGAUGCAUGUGCAGCCUCCCUGGCUAACAUAGAGAGUAUGCUUGUGAGUGCCAUCAAGGCCCUUCAACCAUGGGCUUCCCCUGCAGAGAGCAGGACGCAGGCUGAGCAAGAGAAGGAGCACCCCAUAGAAAGUGGUAUGGCAGCCCCUGUGCAGCAGCCCUGUCAGCCCAUCUUGAAUGAGCAGGAACACAGGAAGCUGCUUUCUGCUCAGAUAGUCCUGGAGGCCUCACUCAUCAACCAGAUAGCUGACUCUCUAAAAAAUACCACUUCAGAUGUCUAUGGUGUUCUCUGUGAGCUUACUCAGUCAGGGGAGUGGCCACUGAAGGAAGAAAGUGCUGCCCCCUCUGCUGGGGCUCCAGUGGAGAUCUGGGCCAAGAAGGUACUGGUGAAUGGUGAGUUCUGGAGCCAGGUCGAGUCACUAAGUAAACACCUAGGGACACUGGGAGAAGAAACAGCCUGCACAUCAGGAGACAGGCAGCAGCAUACUCCCCAAAGUCUGGCUGAUGCCACAUGGAUUCGUGCAGAGCUCAGCUAUGCCACACAAUCAGUAAGAGAAUUGUUCCACCAUAGGCUGCAGAGCAUACAGGAGACCCUACAAGGGACCCAGGCAGCCCUACAGCAGCACAAGUGCAUGCUGGGAGAAAUCUUGGGAGCCUACCAAACCCCAGACUUUGAAAGAGUAAUACAGCAGAUCUUAGAAACCCUCAGGCAUCCAACUGGCAGGGAGGACCAGGUACAGACAUCCUGGGACCAGAACCCAUUAGGAGAGAUACUGAGGCCAGGCACAGAUGGCUCCCAAGAGCCUUUGCAGGCUUUGCAUCAGAGCCCUGAAGUCCUUGCUGCCAUUCAGGAUGAGCUGGCCCAGCAGCUGAGAGAAAAGGCUAGCAUCCUUGAGGAGAUUUCAGCUGCCUUGCCAGUCCUGCCUCCUACAGAGCCACUUGGGGGUUGCCAGAGGCUUCUGCGGAUGUCCCAGCAUCUCUCAUAUGAAUCUUGUCUAGAGGGCCUUGGUCAGUAUUCUUCAUUACUGGUUCAAGAUGCAAUUAUUCAAGCUCAAGUGUGCUAUGCAGCAUGCAGAAUUCGGCUGGAGUAUGAAAAAGAGCUGAGAUUUUACAAGAAGGCCUGUCAGGAGGCUAAGGGGGCUUCAGGCCAGAAACGUGCACAAGCAGUUGGGGCCCUGAAGGAAGAGUAUGAAGAACUUCUCCACAAGCAGAAGAGUGAGUACCAGAAGGUUAUCACCCUCAUUGAAAAAGAAAACACUGAGCUCAAGGCCAAAGUGAGCCAGAUGGACCAUCAGCAGAGAUGUCUACAAGAAGCAGAAAACAAACACAGUGAGAGCAUGUUUGCCCUACAGGGCAGGUAUGAAGAGGAGAUCAGGUGCAUGGUGGAACAGCUGAGCCACACUGAAAAUACCCUGCAGGCUGAGCGUAGCCGGGUUCUCAGCCAGCUAGACGCCUCAGUCAAAGACAGGCAGGCCAUGGAACAGCAUCAUGUGCAGCAAAUGAAGAUGCUGGAGGACAGGUUCCAGCUGAAGGUUCGGGAGCUACAGGCUGUUCAUCAGGAGGAAUUGAGGGCCUUGCAGGAACACUACAUAUGGAGCCUGCGGGGAGCCCUCAGCCUCUACCAACCCUCACACCCAGAUUCCUCACUGGCCCCUGGGCCAUCUGAGCCCAGAGCUGUGCCAGCAGCCAAGGAUGAGGCCGAGUCCAUGUCCGGGCUGCGAGAACGUAUCCAGGAGCUGGAAGCCCAAAUGGGUGUCAUGCGAGAGGAGCUGGGCCACAAAGAGCUGGAGGGUGAUGUGGCCGCCCUGCAGGAGAAGUACCAGCGGGACUUUGAGAGUCUCAAGGCUACAUGUGAGCGAGGCUUUGCCGCCAUGGAGGAGACACAUCAGAAGAAGAUUGAAGACCUACAGAGGCAACACCAGCGGGAGCUAGAGAAGCUGCGGGAGGAAAAAGACCGCCUCCUGGCUGAGGAGACAGCUGCCACCAUAUCAGCCAUUGAAGCCAUGAAGAAUGCUCACCGAGAGGAGAUGGAACGAGAGUUAGAGAAGAGCCAGCGGUCUCAGAUCAGCAGCAUCAAUUCAGACAUAGAAGCCCUGAGGCGACAGUACCUGGAGGAGCUGCAGUCAGUGCAGCGGGAGCUGGAAGUCCUUUCAGAGCAGUACUCCCAAAAGUGCCUGGAGAAUGCACACCUAGCCCAGGCGCUGGAGGCCGAGCGUCAGGCCCUGCGGCAAUGCCAGCGUGAGAACCAGGAGCUCAACGCCCACAACCAGGAGCUGAAUAACCGCCUGGCUGCGGAGAUCACACGGUUGCGGACACUACUGACUGGAGACGGUGGUGGGGAGUCCACUGGGUUGCCUCUCACACAGGGCAAGGAUGCCUAUGAGUUAGAGGUCUUGUUGCGGGUCAAAGAGUCAGAAAUCCAGUACCUGAAACAGGAGAUCAGCUCCCUCAAGGAUGAACUCCAGACAGCCCUGCGGGAUAAGAAGUAUGCUAGUGACAAGUACAAAGACAUCUACACUGAGCUCAGCAUUGCCAAGGCCAAGGCUGACUGCGACAUCAGCAGGCUGAAGGAGCAGCUGAAAGCAGCCACAGAGGCACUGGGCGAGAAAUCUCCUGAAGGCACUACUGUGUCAGGAUAUGACAUAAUGAAAUCUAAAAGCAAUCCUGACUUCCUGAAGAAAGACAGAUCCUGUGUUACCCGGCAACUCAGAAACAUCAGGUCCAAGUCCGUAAUUGAGCAGGUCUCAUGGGAUAACUGAGUCGCGCCCGCUUCCAAGUCCCCUGUCGUAUAGGUAAACCACUUCUCACUCUGCCCACUGCCCUCACAGGCGGCUCUGCAUGCACUCUCACACCUCCAUAGCACAUCUCUAUGUAAUUAUCUUCACUCAUCUUUCUCUGACAAACACACACCCAGUCUACAUGAGAUCUCAAUAACUGUCCUGGAAGUUGGCACUCUAACCUCUCCACAGAGCUGAGCCUGCCCAAGGCCUCCUCAUCUUGACGGGUGGGCACAAUCCAGCAUGCAUACUGGGUGACUUGCACGACACUGAGCUCCUGUCUCCUGUCUUGGAAACAAAUUGCAGGGAGAUAGUAGAUACCCACUGAGUCUGGCAAGCACUGCACUCUCAUGAAAGACCUCAGAUAACCAGGUGGUAACAAGGCUGUUUUGGGGAGACCCCUGCAGAUAGCCAGGUGGUAACAAGGCUGUUUUGGGGAGACCCCUGCAGAUAGCCAGGGGGUAACAAGGCUGUUUUGGGGAGACCCCUGCAGAUAGCCAGGGGGUAACAAGGCUGUUUUGGGGAGACCCCUGCAGAUAGCCAGGGGGUAACAAGGCUUUUUUGGGGAGACCCUGCAGAUAGCCAGGGGGUAACAAGGCUGUUUUGGGGAGACCCCUGCAGAUAGAACAGAUCCCAGUUGUGCUGUUCUGUGUGGAACUGAUCAAUACUGCAUGGGUAGAGUCUUAGAAAUUAUUUUGUUCCUAAAGGCCUGUCAACCAUUCACACAGGGAUAAACACGACCUGCUUUUGUUUUUCAUGCAAUACAAAAGUGUGUCUCCCCGUAGAAGGUAGUAGAGUUGGCCAUGUGGAGUUCAGUGCCAGGAAUGUUGUGCCCCAAGGAUACAUGUUGACCUUUUUUAUACAGUGAUAACAGCUUAAGGGCCCUGGCCUGGUUGGUCCCACCGGCAGUAAGUACCCAGGCGUGCCAGUUCCUACUCUACAUGAGUCUCUCUACCUUCCAGCAAGACAGAAGCCAGCAAGGGCAAUCAGCUUGAACUUAGAGGAAACAAGGUUGCCUUAGAGAAGAGUAUUGAAAAAGCCCAAGGAUUUUAACAUUGGCUUUUUUAACUAAUCUGUUUUGUUUUCUAGUUCCAAGCUAACUUAUAUGCUAAUGUGGUUUAAGCAUAUUGGAGACUACUUUCUCCAACCUAAGGUUAAACUCAGCUCUUGCCCAGAAGCCCUCAGAAAGCACAGUGGUCACUAUGAACAAGUGGCUUUUGGGUCAGAAUAAGAAAGGAUAUCCAGGGAUGGGCACCAUGAAGAAGAUAUGUAAUGAGGUGUGCCAUCUACUUGUGAACUUGUGGGGAUACCCAGCACACGGCUCAGUAACAAGGGACUGGGUAGUGGUAAUGCUAGGAACAGGGAGGCUCUGUUCUAGCAAGAUCCCUAUGGCAAAGACAGCCUUGAGAGCCAUGGAGGGCUCUUGUACUAAGCAGGGUCACUAGUCACACAGUGCUAGAGUAGCUCUGUGUUCUUGGAGUCACUAGAGCCCUGGUAGGUGGGAAAGGACAUUGGUUUCCAGAGGACACCUGACCCUCAGAACAAGCAGGAGGGCAGAGACCUUGAGCUGUUUCUCACGUGAUUUUUCAGGAUUUGCAUGGGGACCCAGUUCCAUUGUUGUGCUCUGUGUCCAACCUCAGCACACGCAUGCACAAAGUGGGGCCCGAGAUGGCAGUGCAUGUGUGCUGCCUUUGUGCGCUUGGAGCGUCCCAGGAGCCCUGUUAAGAGAGAGACCUGUGCUGGGUCGUGAUUGGGACCUCCCUCACAUGCUGUAUCAUCUCCUGCCUUGGUCAGCUUGCACAGCAGCAGCAUGGCCUCUUGAGAUCCAUAGCAGAGAGGAUUCUCCUCGGUGUGAUCAUGGGAUGGGUGUGGAAGGCUGAGCCCUGAAGGUAACUGGCUGCACCUGAGGCCAGAAACCUCAGAGAAAUGACACUUCUCAGGGUUCACCUCUAAGGGACAGUAGGUCUUGAAUGCUCUGUCCUGAGAAUGGUAGUGAGUACAGUGAGUAGGCUCACACUUCCUCUGGGCAUCCAUUGCCAUGUAGGGCCACUAUGGCCAUUCAGAGCCUGCUCCUUCCACAUGAGGAUUUUCCUCCAUCCAGCACAUGGAACCCAGUCCUAGAGCACAUUCUGUCCAACCAAAGGAGUCUCAGGACGCCUGAUAAUAAAGCCUCAGCUAGAACAGAACAUUUACGGCAGUGCCAAAACCCCACUCCCCGGGGGUGCUUGGUUUGGCCAGUUGCUGAGUGGUAAGCCAAAAGACCUCUGUAACAUCUUUUGGAAGUCUGGCUGACAUGGAACUACCUGAACUCUGGAGGUGAGACUUCAAAGAUACCUUGAAGCAGGUGUUGGUCACACUGUUCACACACAUGAUCUGUUAGUAAAAAAGACAGUGUGUACUCACUCAAGCACAGCCUUAGCUAUGUGAUAGCCUAACUCAAAAAACGAAAGUUAUUACGGGGAAUCUGAUGAUAAGGACACUAACCGCAGCACAGUUCCUUCUUCAUACCCUGCAGGAGGCUGGGCCUCAACCUUGUGGAGCACUGACUGCCCCUCUCCUAAUAUAACCUGUGUUUACAGCGAGGCUGAGCCUGACAAGGUUGAUUGCCAACAAGAAUCAAGGUUGACCUGACCAUGCUAAAAAUAUGUUGAUUGCCAGUUCUCUAAGAACUGGAGUUCCUUUUUUCUUCCAGAAAUGAAAACUUAGGGGAAGAGGAAAGAUAUUUAAGAGAAAUGUGGUAAAUAUUCUGUUCCCCAGUUAGUAAAAUGUUUUUUGCCUUAAAAAACAAUACCAAGAUCACAGGAGUUAAGUCAUGCGUGUGUGUGUGUGUGUGUAUAUGUGUAUGUGUGUGUAAUGUGUUGAUAGCUCUAUCUGGUGGUCUGUUGGGGAUUCCCCUUGUCUUAAAGCAGUAAGUUCAUAAAGACAAAGGAAUGAGACAUGCACAUUCCAUAUAUAGGAAGAAUGAUAGGUGCCCAGGUUUCCAGUCCUCCACCCAAGUGUUUCGUGGUUUUGUCUGAAGAACCAACCCUAAGCUAGAACUGAGCUAUGACACAUGGUCUUGUUUCUCUUUAUUAUUUUCCCCUUUCUCACCCAAGUACAUUUUUACAGGAAAAAGCAAAUCCCAGUCACACUACUUCUCCAGGGAUUCUCUCAGGGCUUCUGCCCUCGCAUGCCCACUAAUCUCAGGAUCCCUCGCCUGCACCUGCUACUGAAGCCCACUACGCCUGCUGCACCAACACCUAACUGCUCCUUCCUCUCUGUCUCCACCAGAGUCUGAAGGAAGGCCUGACGGUGCAGGAGCGCUUGAAGCUCUUUGAAUCCAGGGACUUGAAGAAAGAUUAGCUGCAUCCAUUCCACUGACACAUCCUUCCCAGCUGGUGGCAGCACAAGCCAAGCGUGGUUUUCAUCUUCACCUGUGCAUCUCAUUGUUGCUGUCAUUAACUGUGGGGAUGGAUGCAUGAGAGACUGCUGUGGGGUGCUUGCUCCAGUCCCUCCCUGUCAAUUCCAACUUCCUGUUGUCUUUAUCACAGCUUUUUUCCCAUGGUAUUCUCAGAUUAGUCACGCGCAAGCAGUAGAGUGGGACGGUUUCCCCGCUGAUACCUGAGCAGCCCCCUUGUCCUCCCAGCACACUCACUGUCAGUAUUAAGGCACAGCAGCCUGUUAAUAAGCUAGCCCUGCCUCAGAGUGCACAUGUGGGGACCUGCCAGUGGCUCUGCUCUGCCGCACACAGCGGAGCACCACCCUUGAUGGUCAGAGCAGAGCCACCGAAUGUUGUAGGCUGGCCUGAUUUCUGAGGGGCCUAGGAAAGUGUCCAGCCUGGCCCACUUCCUUUUGAUGUGGGAGGGGGACAGCAUUUUGUACCUGGCCACUGAUGCAGCUUAGAACCAUACCCAGAUAAUCCGGCAAAUCCUUCACAACCUGGAAAAUGUUGAAAGCAACCAUUCCUAUUUUGGUUUUUUAUUAAAUCUUGCACAAAAGCCCCGGCCCCUCUCAUUCCUUCCUCCGCUCGUGCCUCCCUUGCUGUGCUAAUCCUGGUCUUCUGGUGGCCCGGAAGAGUGACUUGCAGCCUGAAGCUUCAGACUUGUCAAGUGUGAUGGGUCCUCAAAGUCCUCUGGAGGGGAACAUUGCUGGGGUUUAAUCUGUCUGAAAAGAAGCUGCCAUGCUGCUUGGCAGGGUGAGGAGAAGCCCGUGUGCAAAGACAGACUGUCAGGACUGGUGAUAGCAGCAGUGUGUGCUCAGGACCCUCGUUAGUCUGGGCUCUGGAAGGGUCCCUUGAAUUGUCUGCUUCUCAUGGAGCCAUUGACAGGGAGCCUGUGCUAACUCUGCUUUUCUAGCUGAACAGGACCUGAAACUACCCAAAGCAGUCUGCAGCAUUUUCUUUAAAAAACAAACCAACAAAAACAUUUUUCUCUAUUCUCAUAAGAAAACAUUCAUACUGUAAGAUGCAGCACACAGGAGUCCCCAUGUCAGAUGGGAGAGGCAAUAGCCUCAUAGCUAGAUAUGCGAUCUGGCUUCUUAGUCCUGGCUUGUUAGUGUUAAGUGGGUCAGAUGGAUGGUCUCUGAGCGUACAAAUUCAACUCAUGAGUCCCCUAAAGGUUCUACAUGAGUUGACGUACAAGGUCUAGCUGGCCUAAUAGACAGGCAGGUCGAAACUUCAAGAUAACGGAUUUGUUACAUACCAAAGUGUGCCACUGACCAGCAGGCAAGCCCUGGGCUCCCCUUUUCACACGUUUUUAAGUUCCACUCUGGCACAUGCUCAGUGGUCAUUUAUGUUUUCAGCAUUAUGGGCAAGUCAGACCUGUUAAAACAAGCUUUGAGCUCAGAGUGGGCUAGCCUUCAGGAGCCUGGGGUUGUGCGUUGAGGACUCCUGUUCUCUCAUACGGUUUCCUUGCAGCUAUCCUGCUGCCCUUGGGACCCUCUGGCCCCAUUGCAUUAUCUUCCUGCCUUGUGCUUCCUGGGAUGCUACAAAGAGCCUGCGGAAGAUGCCAAGCCUACCAUUCAAAAGGACACUUGAUCUUUUGCUCUUCACCUCAGAAUCCUAGGAUAUGAACUUUGCUGAAGGUACAAGUACCUACAUGUCAGAGGCAAGGGCUGGGAGACAGGCACGCUGCACCCAUCUAAUCUGUCACUCAGGGCUCCUACUGCAGGCUCGUUUUUGCUGUGAUAGAGCACACACUGCUCUAGGGCUUGUUUCACGUGUGGGUAUCUGGUAUGUUGGCCAAAUGCUGAACUGGCAGACAUUCCUGGAUCAUCCCCCACUGUCUACGCCAGUCUGAGCAGUAACAUGUGCAGGAUCAGGGUGCAUCUUGAUUUUCUUGAUGGUGACUUCUGGCAAAAAUGAACCAAACAAGAAGUUGGUCUUCCUGAGUCCCUGAACUGCCGGCCCACUGCAGCAGUUUAUUUUAGACUGCCACAUGUCUUCUGUCCAUUCCCUUCCCUCACUCCCUGAGCCAGGUUCACUUUUGCCUGACCCCUCUACAGGCUUCCCAUUCCCUGGAAAGAAGUUGAAGUUGGUGUGUUCAGAGAAGAGGUAUGGAAUGUGCAAAUGGAGUUGGUUCAGGCAUAUGUAAAAGAGGAUGCUUGGCUGAGAAUGGGUAGUGUAGAUCAAGAAGUCACAGGCUGCUCCCAGUACAGUCAGUCAGUGGCAUGCUUUCUUUUACACAUUUGUGGUCUACCAGCAUCUACAAGCAAACUACCAUUACAGGGAACAUACCAUUUGACAGUGAAUGUAAAUAUAUGCUUAAAUUACAUCUUGCAAGCCUGGCAUGGUGGUGCACGCCUUUAAUCCCAGCACUCGGGAGGCAGAGGCAGGCAGAUUUCUGAGUUCGAGGCCAGCCUGGUCUACAAAGUUAGUUCCAGGACAGCCAGGGCUAUACAGAGAAACCCUGUCUCAAAAAAAAAAAACAAAAACAAAAACAAAAAAAAACAAAAAAAAAAAACUUCAUCUUUGCACGUGUGAUGCCGAGCACAUCUGCCACACAGGGCUACUGGCUGCACCUUUUCCAGUAUGGUUGUGGCCACAAUGCCACAAUAAUAGGAGGCCAGAGCCCCAUGAAGUAGGGAGUCCCCAGAGGGAAGAACGCUAGGAAUGUGUGCAUUCACUGAGUGUAAACAAAGGUCAGAGUUGGCAAACUCCAUUGGAUCUAGCAGAACACUGAACUGGGCGCACUCACUCAUGUCUGUACUCCUACCACCUGACGCUCCAAAGUACAAGGUCAGUCUGGGCUACAUAGCAAGACUAUCUCACAUACAGGUGGGCUAAGGGCAUGGAUAUAAAAUAUAUAAAAUUUGGGGUUCAACUACAGCACUACAGAGAGCACACUUGUGGUCUUUGGAACAUUUGUCCAAAGGGAGCCUGAGAGAUUUGACUAGGAAACAAAUGGGUAUGAAAGAUAUUUGAAGGAAUGUGUACUACUGUUAACCUCUCUACAGGGGGAGAUGGUGCGCUGACUUCUUUCUACCCUGGAACUGCAGAGAAAGCACCGCCUCACUGCUGCCACCUAGCUGGCGCCGAGGGAAGUAGCUGGCUAGCACACAGCCUGCACUGUUGGGUGUGAACCAGGGCAUCAGCUUAGUUAGAUUCCUGCAGGCCUGCCCCACACACCUGACCUCCAACUAAGCCUGGCUCUCAAAGACAGGCUGGAUAAGCACCCAGAGGCCCUAUGCAGCCUUCCCACUCAUGCCAUACUCCAUGUAAGUAAGCCAGUGCAAGCUGCACACCAAAGUCUGCUGGCAGCUACAGGGACAACAGUAACACCCAAACCCCAGACUCUGCUAGUGGAGAGUCAGUAGUUACCUCUUGGCCAGCGGAGGGUUAGCUGUUCAUGCUAUGCUGUAAAGAUGACAUCACCUAGUAAGCUACUUAGAGGCUAUCAGUGUAGGGACUCAUACAGCCUUUCUCAUUAGAGCUCCCAGCAUACAUACAGGACAGCCUAUGGCCUGCACUUCACUUGCUCAGCCUUUCCUGUAUAUCAGAGCAAGCAAUAUUAAGUAUUUCUAAGGCAUGGUGCAGGAACUUUUGUGCAAAGUUUGUGUGAGUUUUAAAAUACCCCUUUUGAAGGUAUGUAAAGGCAGUGUUCAGUGCAAACCCCUCUCAAAUGUCAAGACCAUUAGUUGGCGAGGCAUGGUAGCACACACAUUUAAUUAGCACUUGGGAGGCAGAGAAGCAGGCUAAGUUCAAGACCAACCUGGUCUACAUAGAGAGUUCUAAAAGAUUUACACAGUAAAAACUGCCUAAAAAUUAAACAACAAAAAAGACUAUGUUAAUAAGUAAUGCCUUUUAAAGUUUUGGUUACUCAACAGACUCUGAAGAUAUCCUUGCCCACACUCACAGCAAGCUCUGAUUCUUGUUUAAAGUAUUCUGUGAGACUUGCAUAGAGCCACUCAAGGAAAACCAGUACUAUGAGGGACUCUUGGCACCUUGCCCUCAGGUUUCUCGGGGUGUUUUUCUUAGGGGAACUGGCUGGAGCAUACGCUGCUUCAGGUCCAGGAGCCUAGCUCUAACAGCGGGGCUGGACUUGAGUGCAGAGCAGCCCAGCUACCCAUAUCUCUAGCGACCUCACUGUAUAUAGCAUGAGACUCCAGGUAGCUCCAUGACUGUAUUUCUGUACUGGUAAGGAGGUAGCCCAUCAGUAGAGUUAAAAGUGGGACAGUCCAAAACUAAAGGACUUCAGGGCCUCUCCAGUUUCGCAUGGGUCACAGGUCAGCCUGGAGCAGCUUCCAUUGUGGGGCAGGACCUCAUUGCUGGCAUUUGCCAUAAAGAGAUACCACUGUUAAGAAUCCUAGCCACACAAGCCCACUCCAGCUUGCCACAGCUGACAUGCCAUUGGCUCAUCUCUCCUUUACAAGGUAGUCAGACCACACAUCUAAUUUUAUUUGAGCAAGCUAUAGAUUGUAAAGAACACUAAAUUCACUAUUAUGUUUUGUUUCUAUCACAAACUUUGAUAUAAAUGAAUUUUAAAUCAUUUUAAGAUUUACCUUUGAUAUUAAUGCUUUAAUUCCAGGAUCCAAAACCAGUUCUGUGGUUACUAACUAAUGUGGCUUCAUGCAGGUUUGCUGUGUAGAAUAUUAAGAACCGCAGUCACAGUGGCUCCUUGACAAUCAGAACUCUAGGUGACCUUCCAUUACUGCUGCUUGACUGGGGGUGGGGUGCGUGUUUGUGAACAGGGCGCCUGGCAGGGCCUCUUAUAUCUCGACAGAAACAGGCUUGUACUAACUCACCUGCUAUUUAGGUAUUUUGUCAGAACAAAAUAGUCAAUCCAGCUGCCAACUAAAAAUUACAUGUAGAAGGUAAUGGAGCCUCACUGAGCCAGAGAGGCUUCAAGCACAGCUUCUCAGAGCCAGUUCAGGCCUCUGUGUGUAUGCACAGGGUGUGGCUUCCUGCAGACAACAUGUCCCCCAACUCCUCAUUCCAAGAUCUUAUGGUUCAGUGUAAGGCAUUUCCUACAAAGUUUGUGGUCAGGUUCGCUAUAAUUGAAAUGUUAAUUUGUAGAAAUAUUUAUUCCUUUGUGUGACAAGCUAGAGUCCUUGGCUGUAGCUCACCAUUUUUACUGUGUAAAUACUGCUUGGUUUUACAUGAACUGUAUCAUAAUAAACUAUUUUUGCAUUGCC